AGUGUUUCCUAGAGCCAUCUGCUGACAACACGAACAUUGGGCAUCUGACAGAGGAGAAAUAUUUAUAAGGUUUAGCUCCAGUAUCACAGGCAGAGCAAUGGAGGAUGGAUUUGGAGCUGCAAGGCAAUAAACUGGUAACUGAACAAAGCAAUUAAGUCAAUGAACACUGCUAUCCUACUGGCUUUGAAAUGAAGGCACACCCCUUCAGAGUGUACCCUAUCAGAAAGAAAGAAGAGGAAAAAAAAUUAUAAUUAUUAAUUCAUGAUGCUAUGCAGGCUUUGUGAGGUUGGAGGUAACUGCUAUUGAAGAAAUGCUUCAGGCCCUGGUCAACACAACGAAAGACAAUGAACAGAAAUCGCCAUUUGAUGUGAAGAGUGACUGUAAAGGAAGACAAGAAGAAGGCACAAGGAGAUUUGCUCCAAACUAGUUCUUCCCAUAAAAUCUCUGCCCCGGCCAGUUGCAGUGGCUCACGUCUGUAAUCCCAGCACUUUGAGAGGCCGAGACCAGUCCAAGAAGAUUGUAUAUAAGAGACACCUGAUAAUUUCAAAAUCCUAGGCCCACUUCCUGAGCUGAGCAAGGACCAUGGAAUUUCACUGAGCCUACCAGAUAAUCCAGGAUAAGCUCCCUAUUUAAGCAGGAUACAGUAGAAGGGAGCUAGGUGGUAGCACAGAACCUAUUCUCUGGGGAAGAACUGACAUAGGAGACGUGACUAAGUUGCAGUUGACACUAACCCAGGCACAACAGGAAUACAACCUUUUACUACAGAUGUGGGAUUGUUCAUGUCAUCUACUAAUGCAAGAUGGAUCUGAGAACGCUGUCUGGGCUUGGUACCAAGAGCUGGUAUUUCACAGCAGCGACCGCCUCACAGACGAGCUGUGGGAAGCAGGAGGGAGACUCUCUCUUAGGGUGCCACUACUAUGGAGACACAGCUGGGCUGAACAAGAUUUGCUUCAAACGACAACAAGAGAGACAGAAAGUAUCUGGUUCAACCGCUGCCCGAGCAGGCAGGCACCAGAAGAGCUAGCAGCCAAUCCGGCCAUGCUCGAAGCCAGCUCUGCAGCUCAGCCAAUCAGUGACAUCAUUGCUUUCUUUAGCUUGCCCAUGGUGAUGUGAAGAUGAGAAGAAAUAGCAAGGCCCAACCAGUUCUUCAUCUGGAGACAGUUCAACGUUCUGCAAACCAGGACAGUACUACAGAAGGACUAAGUAUAUAGGAAACUUGACUUAUUUAAAUAAGGCAGUGAAAAAAAUAGAAUAUGGGGAGUAAAACAACCUCUGAAGCUAAGUCUGCAUAUAUAAUAACUGGAUCUUCAGGAAUUUUACUGGGAUAAUUAUCCAAAUAAAUUGCAAGCAUUCUAUCCAAAUGGAGCUCUUUCUGAGAUGAAGAGAAUUCUCAAUGUCAAGAUUUGAACAAGAAGAGAAUGGAAUACACAAUAUGGACAUCCAUAAAAAUUCAUCAGAGAGCAUUUUACUACUGAGCUGCAAAGCUCUACAUUUUCACAGUAAAACUUCUGUUUUAUCUUUUAACAACAUGAUAAAGAAAAACACAGAUGGAAGAACAUUGAGGGGGAAUUCCUAAAUGGGAGCAGUUAGCAGCUAUGAAAAUGUAGAUAUU
rnacentral:lncRNA from 1 species